ensembl:lncRNA TMEM161B-DT TMEM161B divergent transcript
GUCGACCCCACGCCACGCAGAGGUGAAGAUACGCAGGACGUCCUCUAAAGCAACUUCCGUGGGUGCCAGGUUGUGGGCUGGGGGCGGUGCUGACCUUGAGAGAGCGGAGGAGGCGCAGGCGCAGCACAGGUGGCAAUUGAAGCCGGAAGAACAUCUACCAAGAGCAGAGAACCCAGGAAGAAAAUUCUGCCUCUUUAAUACGUUCCAAUAUGGACGUUUUCCAUAUAGAUACCUAUCUAUAUAGAUAGAUGCUCUGGGAUCUGACGGUCCUGGACACCUGUAUGGCUGUGUGCUGUGGUCUUUGCCUAGCCUGCGGUUCACUUUUGCUCUGGCCACCACCUCCCCUCAUGUACAAACCGCGUCUCUGCUCUGCCAGUCUUGGCCCCCGUCAGGCAGCGGUUCACUCCCUCACCAGGGAAGUCUAGAUAGAUAGAUAUAGAUAGAUAUCGAUCGAUAGAUAUAGAUAUAUAUAUAGAUAGAUAGAUAGGUAGAUAUAUGGAUAGAUAUAGAUAUUUGGAUAGAUAUGUAGACGUCUAUCUAUAAAUAUAUCGAUAUAUCGGGGUUCUCAGCCAUCCCAAAGAAGCUUGCACAGGGCCAGUUGCUUUAUGUCAGGAAAAGGGACACAGACUGAGUGUAUGAGGGUUUUUUUUUUCUAUAGAUGUAUAGAUAUUUAUAUCAGAUGCAAAUAAGUGAAACUCUCAUACAACUUUUAAUUUUGUGUUUUUUCCAAACUCUAUUCCAUUCAACUUUUUCUGCCUUUUUAUUUGAUUAUAAUGAGACAUCGUACUGGAGGCAGGCUUGAAAUGGAUAUACAGAGCACUUUCAACCCAGAAAUUUGUCUCACGACUUGGGGUCCUUACUUAAGUUGUAGCUGUUAGUAAUUUCAUCCAUGAAUUCACUUUGUGCCAUAGUGUGAUGUUUUGUUAUGAAGUUGGAAUUGGGAAGGGAAACUAGGAAGUUUUGGGAGAAGUUAAGAAGGUUGAGUAGGCAGGCGUUGUUAUAGAUAUUAAAUUUCACCCUGCUUAUCAAAGUACCUGGAGCGUAUGGUAUCCAAGCUGUAAAUGGCCCAAAGGAAUCGGGGUUCUCAGCCAUCCAAAAGAAGCAUGCACAGGGCCAGUUAUUUUAUGUCAGGAAAGGGGACACAGACUGAGUGUAUGAGGGUUUUUUUUUUUGUUUUUUUUUUUUAGUUUAAACUUGAUUUUGUGAGGGGACGAACAGCGUGACAAUUAAAAGAAGAUCUGGGAAUCGUAAGUACUGACAGAAUACCUGGAGGGAAGGUGGGACUGGAGAAUAGUUUGUGAAACAGAUCCUGCUGAGGAUGAAUCCAGAACUUCCUGAAGGGUUCCGCUUCUGCUGUGUAGGGACAAGGUUGUAAAUAGACAAGCCACAGGCACCUGCAAAUGGUAAGUGUGGUAGAGAGGGGCUGGAAUUGCCUGUUGGUGUAUCUGUGGGAAGCAGCUGCUAUCCUUGAGGAAGAAAAGAUGGAGAAGGUAAGUGGCUAUCAACCUGUCAGAGACAACACAUUCUGUGAAGUUGUACUCUUUCAUUUCUGACACUGUGGUUCUUAAUAUCUGUCCUAAACCUGGCAGUCAUUGAGGUUCGCAAAGUAUCUCCUUCUAUGUGACAGUAAAACUGGAAUUACUAUCAGAAUGGAAUCCAUUCCUGCUAGAGUAAAACCAUGAAAAGAAAUCGCAGUUUUGAUUAUCUGCUUAUCAUUUUUAAUAGAUCACAGAGUGCAGUGUUCCUUAUUUGUUGUAUGGCAAGUUGAUGAAUAACUCUUGAUUAAUAUCUUUUAAUGUUCUGUUUCACACAGUUCUCUCAAUUACAUGUGAAAAAUCUGUUAUAUAAGUAAUGCUAUUUAAUGAUUAAAAUGGAUAUAUGUUUUAAGGUAGUGCCACCCAGUCUUUUUUUUUUGGUAGAAUAAUAUUAUUAUCUAUUGGUUGCCUGCCUUGAAGUACAGUAAUUUCUCUGUUUCCAUUAUUUAAAAUAGGUGAGUGUCUUUGACAAAGAUACAAAGAAAGGGGACAGUUAUGAAAGGGAAGAAAAGAUAGAUGGAGAUGAAAAGAAAUUCAGUAGUUUCAGCAAGGGAAUUAGGAGCAUAAUCUUUGAGAAAAGUCUUGGUUGCUUACCAUUCGGGCUUUGUGAUGAGUUGAAAUGUCCUGAAUGAGAACUGUUCUCAAAUGCUUUCAAGACCAACAAAAAGUACGAUACCCACACUGACCUGGAACUCUUUAAACCAUUAAGAUAUAUCACUUUUUCGCAGUUCAGUCCAUAUUUUUUGCAAAAUGUUCUGCUUAGUUUUUCUGCUAAGAAAUUACUGUUUCUGAACAAGGUUAAGUGUCGUAUGCUUUCAUUGUAGUUUUUUUUCCCCUAACAUAUACUGUUUUCCUAAUUAGACUAUAAAUUCCUCCACAGCUGGGACCUUGUUUUGUUUUCUCGCCUUCCCCAUAACAAAUAUCAUUUAAGUGAAUGUUGUAAACAGUUACUUCAUUUAAAUUGCCCUUAAAAUGCUUUAUGACAAAGACGUUAUUUGUAGUAAUACCUAUAAUGGUAAAAAGUUUGUUGCAGUCUUACAGACGAUAAGAUUGAUCAAUUGUUAUAUAUGCUUAGUGGAAUUUUAUCUAGCUGUUCUAAAGAGCCAUUAGACUAGUCUUUCUAAUGGAAAAUGUUUAUUGUCUAAGUUAAAACAGCAUUUGAGGCCAGGCACAGUGGCUCACUCCUGUUAUUGCAGCACUAUGGGAGGCUGAGGUGGGAGGAUCACUAGAGCACAAGAGUUGGAGACUAGCCUAGGCAAUAUAGUGAGACCUCUUCUCUACAAAAAAUUUAAAAAUUAGCUGAGUGUGAUGGGGUGUGCCCGUAGUUCCAGCUACUCAGGAGACUGAGGUGGGAGGAUCACUUGGGUCCAAGAGGUAGAUGUUGCAGUAAACCAAGAUCAUGCCACUGCACUGCAGCCUGGGCAACAGAGCAAGAUCCUGUCUCAAAAAAUUAAAAAGCAUUUUAUAGACUGCAUGUUUGUGUCCCCCCUCCCUCCGCACCAGAAUUCAUAUAUUGAAGCCUUAAUCUCCAAUGACAUGAUAUUAGUAGGUGGGGCCUUUGGGGGGUGAUUAAAUAAUAAGGGUGAAGCCCUGCAUGGGAUUAGUGCCUUUACAACAAGAGACCCUAGACAGCUUGCUUCCACUCUUUCUUUGCUCUUCACCAUGUGAGGACACAGCAAGAAAACAGACAACUACAAAUCAGGAAGAGGGCCUAAUUUGUGCCAACCAUGCUGGCACUCUUCUCUAACUUCCCAGCCUCCAGAACUGUGAGAAAUAAAUUUCUGUUGUUUAAGUCACCCAGUUUAUGGUAGUUUGGUUAUAGUUGCCCAUAUUAAGACAGCAGGAUGCAAAAUUGUGGCCAGUAUGAUUGCUUUGACAUGAAACAAAUUUUAAGCACAAAUUGCAAAAAGUAACCAAAAUAUAUCAAUCCCCACUGCUGGCAUUAACACUCUAAAACAAACUUUGUAUAUUGGGGGAUUUUAUUUAUUUAUUUAUUUAUUUUUUUUGCUGACCAUAGUGACUCAUGCCUAUAAUCCCAGCACUUUGGGAGGCCGAGUUGGGCAGAUCACUUGAGGCCAGGAAUUCAAGACCAGCCUGGCCAACAUGGCAAAACCCCCUCUUUACAAAAAUAUAAAAAUUAACCAGGCAUGGUGGCACACCCCUGUAGCCCCACCUACUUGGGAGGCUGAGGUGGGAGGAUCGCUUGGGCCUGUGAAGCAGAGGUUGCGGAGAGCUGUGAUGGCACCACUGCACUCCAGCCUGUGUGACAGAGCGAGACUAUCUCAAGAAAAAAAAAAAAGGAUGAGGAUUUUUUUUGUUUUCAACAUGCUUUUUAACAUCCACUAUAUUACUCUCAUCUUUCUAGGCUGGAAAAAAAAAUGUUUUAAAUGUUAUUCUGAAGUAUAUUGCAACCUUUAACAAUUCAGUAGACUUCUGAAUUUUUAUUUUCAUGUAGCUUACCACAGUUGUAUCUAGGAAUAUAUCACAUAGCUGAUUAAUUGGUGAAAUAACCCUUGCAAUUUUACACAGGUUGUACAGUGCACAUUUUCAAGGACCACUCACAUACAUCCAUUUGAUAUUUUUUGGUAUCAAGAAAGUCUUUAAACAAUCAGUACCACCAAUAGCAGUAAAAAGACAAAACUGUCUGAAAGUACCUAUCUGUUUAAAACUUUAAUUAGCUUUAUCCAUCCAUUAAAUAGUUAUUGAAUAUAAAACUGUAUCAUUCACUCUUCUACACUCUGAGGAAAUAGUGGUAAAUAAAGCAGAUAUUGUCCCUACUAUCAGGAAAUUUACAUUUUAGUAGUAAUAAGCCAUAAAUUAACAAAAACAGAAGACAGUGGUAAGUACUAGGCAUGAAAUUCAAACAUGACUAUUUUAGAUUAGGUGAUUAAAGAAACUAAAAUACCAUUUAAGCUGCUGUGUAAAUGACAAGAGAAUCCAGCUUUGUAAAAAUUGGUGAACCCUUUGCUUGCAGAAGGGACAACUGCAAAAUCUAAGGCAUGAUCUAGCCUGGAAUAUUUCAGGAGCCAAAAGAAGGCCUGCAUGGUUAGAGAAUAGUGACUUAAGACGCAAAUACUGUAACUUUGGAGGGAUAGGAAAGGGCUAGAUCAUGUUACCUUUGAAAGACAGGAAAGAGUUUAGAUUUUAUUCUAUGUGCAAUGGAAAAAAAAAUGAGAGCAUUUUAAUCCAAAGAGUAAUAUAAGAUAAUAUAUUUUUAAAAUCCACUUUGGUAAUUUGUUAAUUGGCAUAAAGAGUCAGCUUUCAUGUAACAUAAUUACUAACAUACUUGGAUUUAAAUUUGUCAUUAUUCUUAUUUUAUUUGUCCCACCUCUUAUAUGUUCAUUUUGUCUUCUUUUGCCUUUUUGAUUUUUUUUUUUCUUAAUUAGGCCAUAGCACCUGAUAUUCCCAGGCAGACUCUCAUCCAAGUGCCAAUCAGCCCCA